AGAGUUUGAUCAUGGCUCAGGACGAACGCUGGCGGCGCGCCUAACACAUGCAAGUCGAACGGUGAAGAGGAGCUUGCUCCUUGGAACAGUGGCGGACGGGUGAGUAACACGUGAGCAACCUGGCUCUAAGAGGGGGGACAACAGUUGGAAACGACUGCUAAUACCGCAUAACGUAUCGGGAUGGCAUCUUCCUGAUACCAAAGAUUUUAUCGCUUAGAGAUGGGCUCGCGUCUGAUUAGAUAGUUGGCGGGGUAACGGCCCACCAAGUCGACGAUCAGUAGCCGGACUGAGAGGUUGAACGGCCACAUUGGGACUGAGACGCGGCCCAGACUCCUACGGGAGGCAGCA
rnacentral:rRNA from 1 species